CCAAACUUGGUCAUUUAGAGGAAGUAAAAGUCGUAACAAGGUUUCCGUAGGUGAACCUGCGGAAGGAUCAUUAAUAAAUAUCCAAAGUAGCCUCUAUAGUUUUAAUUUUAAGCUAUAGGGGCGAAUGUUAUAUAUACUUAUAUAUAUAUAGCACUGCAGGGGGGAGGAGGAGGAGGAGGAGAAGGAGAGAAGAGAUAUUCUCUCUCUCUCUCUACUGCUGCUCCCCCAAAGGUGCAAAAUAUAAUAAAGUCUAAAUCCUAUUCCAUAUAGUAGCCUAAAUAAGAGUAUAAUAAUAACGCACAUUAUAAAAGAUACAACUUUUAACAAUGGAUCUCUUGGCUCUUGCAUCGAUGAAGAACGCAGC
rnacentral:misc_RNA from 1 species